CUUCCGGGCGUUCCAGGAGCUAUAAAUAUGGCGGCGUCGGCGCGUCCCAGUCUCUUAAGCUGUGUCCCCCGAGCUGUGGUUCGUGCUUGAACUGACCAGUGAUUACAAGUAACUCUUAUGGUUGAGGAAAGAAGAGGACCUGCACAGCUACCUGCUGAAGGUUAACUUGAUGCUUGACUUUGGAGUCUUGUAACUAUAUGUAGUCUGGCAAAGUUUUGUCUGUUUUUAUGGGUUCAACCCAGAACUGUCAGUAAUAGGCAAGCAUUUCUUAGUCUGGUCAAUGUAUAUUGUAUAUGUUCAAGAGACCUUAUUGAUGUUUAGGUUUAAGGAACUUUAUUUGUGCCCCCUUUUGAGGUCCAUGUAGUGUGUGUGAAAGUAAUUUCCUAGGAUAUUUCCCCAGGGCCAUAUAAAACACAAAUGGCACUAGUUCAUGCCUAUAAUGACUGUAAGAUCACACUGAAUUCAAGACCAGACUGGGUUACAGAAUUUAAUUUCUAUUCCUGUAAAUAUGAUAUGCCUGAUGAAACUAAUGUUAAUAUUUAUGUGAAUUAAAGGAGAAAUUUUGACUCUG